rnacentral:rRNA from 1 species
GAUGAACGCUGGCGGCGUGCCUAAUACAUGCAAGUCGAGCGAACAGACGAGGAGCUUGCUCCUCUGACGUUAGCGGCGGACGGGUGAGUAACACGUGGAUAACCUACCUAUAAGACUGGGAUAACUUCGGGAAACCGGAGCUAAUACCGGAUAAUAUAUUGAACCGCAUGGUUCAAUAGUGAAAGACGGUUUUGCUGACACUUAUAGAUGGAUCCGCGCCGCAUUAGCUAGUUGGUAAGGUAACGGCUUACCAAGGCAACGAUGCGUAGCCGACCUGAGAGGGUGAUCGCCCACACUGGAACUGAGACACGGUCCAGACUCCUACGGGAGGCAGCAGUAGGGAAUCUUCCGCAAUGGGCGAAAGCUUGACGGAGCAACGCCGCGUGAGUGAUGAAGGUCUUCGGAUCGUAAAACUCUGUUAUUAGGGAAGAACAAAUGUGUAAGUAACUAUGCACGUCUUGACGGUACCUAAUCAGAAAGCCACGGCUAACUACGUG